UCGUUUCCUUCAUUAACGGUAACCUUUCCAUUCUCACUAUCAGAAUCUUUUCCGUGUGUCUGAUUUAUGUCUACAUAGCCUUUCCUUUUCUUUCGGAGGACCACUCUUUCUAGUUCUUCAUUGAUUUGGUGAACAGAAUCGGACGGAAGAGACUGUAUGUUGAAACAAAAAUAACUCUUAUUGGACUACAUGUUUUAUUACAAUUAGAACCAGAAUAGACUUUAUAUUAAUAAAUUUGGCUCCUAUUAUUAUGUAAUUUUUUAAUGUUUGGGUGUUAAACAUGUGUUAUUGCUUAUCGAAAUGAUGUUAGUGUGUAUAAAUGUGUGUAUCUUCACGUUUUAUCAAGACAACACUAGUGUAUAUAUACUUUGCAAACGUGUUUCAUAAGCUUGUCAUCCAUUGCAAUAAAUGAAUAAAAUAUC
rnacentral:sRNA from 1 species